GGGGCUGUAGCUCAGCUGGGAGAGCGCAUGACUGGCAGUCAUGAGGUCGUGGGUUCGAUCCCCAUCAGCUCCA
rnacentral:tRNA from 1 species